rnacentral:rRNA from 1 species
AACGAACGCUGGCGGCAUGCCUAACACAUGCAAGUCGAACGAGACCUUCGGGUCUAGUUGCGCACGGGUGCGUAACGCGUGGGAACCUGCCCUUAGGUUCGGAAUAACUCCCCGAAAGGGGUGCUAAUACCGGAUAAUGUCUUCGGACCAAAGAUUUAUCGCCUUUGGAUGGGCCCGCGUUGGAUUAGCUAGUUGGUAGGGUAAAAUCCUACCAAGGCGACGAUCCAUAGCUGGUCUGAGAGGAUGAUCAGCCACACUGGGACUGAGACACGGCCCAGACUCCUACGGGAAGCAGCAGUGGGGAAUAUUGGACAAUGGGCGAAAGCCUGAUCCAGCAAUGCCGCGUGAGUGAUGAAGGCCUUAGGGUUGUAAAGCUCUUUUACCCGGGAUGAUAAUGACAGUACCGGGAGAAUAAGCUCCGGCUAACUCCGUG